rnacentral:rRNA from 1 species
CUGGGCGCAGCCUGAUCCAGCCAUGCCGCGUGCAGGAUGACGGUCCUAUGGAUUGUAAACUGCUUUUAUACAGGAAGAAACACUGGUUCGUGAACCAGCUUGACGGUACUGUAAGAAUAAGGAUCGGCUAACUCCGUGCCAGCAGCCGCGGUAAUACGGAGGAUCCAAGCGUUAUCCGGAAUCAUUGGGUUUAAAGGGUCCGUAGGCGGUUUAAUAAGUCAGUGGUGAAAGCCCAUCGCUCAACGGUGGAACGGCCAUUGAUACUGUUAAACUUGAAUUAUUAGGAAGUAACUAGAAUAUGUAGUGUAGCGGUGAAAUGCUUAGAGAUUACAUGGAAUACCAAUUGCGAAGGCAGGUUACUACUAAUGGAUUGACGCUGAUGGACGAAAGCGUGGGUAGCGAACAGGAUUAGAUACCCUGGUAGUCCACGCCGUAAACGAUGGAUACUAGCUGUUGGAAGCAAUUUCAGUGGCUAAGCGAAAGUGAUAAGUAUCCCACCUGGGGAGUACGUUCGCAAGAAUGAAACUCAAAGGAAUUGACGGGGGCCCGCACAAGCGGUGGAGCAUGUGGUUUAAUUCGAUGAUACGCGAGGAACCUUACCAAGGCUUAAAUGUAGUUUGACCGAUUUGGAAACAGAUCUUUCGCAAGACAAAUUACAAGGUGCUGCAUGGUUGUCGUCAGCUCGUGCCGUGAGGUGUCAGGUUAAGUCCUAUAACGAGCGCAACCCCUGUUGUUAGUUGCCAGCGAGUCAUGUCGGGAACUC